rnacentral:rRNA from 1 species
AGAAUCAACGCUGGCGGCGUGCCUAACACAUGCAAGUCGAACGAGAAAGUGGAGCAAUCCAUGAGUAAAGUGGCGCACGGGUGAGUAACACGUGACUAACCUACCCUUGAGUGGGGGAUAACCUCGGGAAACCGGGGCUAAUACCGCAUAAUAUCGAGAGAUCAAAGGAGCAAUUCGCUUACGGAGGGGGUCGCGGCUGAUUAGCUAGUUGGUGAGGUAAUGGCUCACCAAGGCUAUGAUCAGUAUCCGGCCUGAGAGGGCGCACGGACACACUGGAACUGAAACACGGUCCAGACUCCUACGGGAGGCAGCAGUGGGGAAUUUUGCGCAAUGGGGGAAACCCUGACGCAGCAACGCCGCGUGGAGGAUGAAGUCCCUUGGGACGUAAACUCCUUUCGAUCGGGACGAUAUGACGGUACCGGAAGAAGAAGCCCCGGCUAACUCGUGCCAGCAGCCGC